rnacentral:rRNA from 1 species
UAAUACAUGCAAGUCGAGCGGAUCUUCAUUAGCUUGCUUUUGAAGAUCAGCGGCGGACGGGUGAGUAACACGUGGGCAACCUGCCUGUAAGACUGGGAUAACUUCGGGAAACCGGAGCUAAUACCGGAUAAUCCUUUCCCUCACAUGAGGGAAAGCUGAAAGACGGUUUCGGCUGUCACUUACAGAUGGGCCCGCGGCGCAUUAGCUAGUUGGUGAGGUAACGGCUCACCAAGGCAACGAUGCGUAGCCGACCUGAGAGGGUGAUCGGCCACACUGGGACUGAGACACGGCCCAGACUCCUACGGGAGGCAGCAGUAGGGAAUCUUCCGCAAUGGACGAAAGUCUGACGGAGCAACGCCGCGUGAACGAUGAAGGCUUUCGGGUCGUAAAGUUCUGUUGUCAGGGAAGAACAAGUACCGGAGUAACUGCCGGUACUUUGACGGUACCUGACCAGAAAGCCACGGCUAACUACGUGCCAGCAGCCGCGGUAAUAC